ACGAACGCUGGCGGCGUGCUUAACACAUGCAAGUCGAACGAGAGGACAAGAGAAGCUUGCUUCUUUGGAAUCGAGUGGCAAACGGGUGAGUAACACGUAAACAACCUGCCUUCAGGAUGGGGACAACAGACGGAAACGACUGCUAAUACCGAAUACGCUUGGGAGACCGCAUGAUCUACCAGGAAAGGGUGGCCUCUACCUGUAAGCUAUCGCCUGAAGAGGGGUUUGCGUCUGAUUAGGCAGUUGGUGAGGUAACGGCCCACCAAACCUACGAUCAGUAGCCGGUCUGAGAGGAUGAACGGCCACACUGGAACUGAGACACGGUCCAGACUCCUACGGGAGGCAGCAGUGGGGAAUCUUCCGCAAUGGGCGAAAGCCUGACGGAGCAACGCCGCGUGAGUGAUGACGGCCUUCGGGUUGUAAAGCUCUGUGAUCGGGGACGAACGGUCCGUAAGCUAAUACCUUAUGGAAGUGACGGUACCCGAAUAGCAAGCCACGGCUAACUACGUG
rnacentral:rRNA from 1 species